rnacentral:lncRNA from 1 species
GUUCAUGUUGUCUGCAUGUCCUGGUGAGAAUAUUUUUUACCCUAAAAUCAAAUUGACAAUGGGGACUACCUGUAGGCUUAUAGCCGAUGUGCCUGUGUUCUUUUAUCGUUAUGUGACCCAGAACCAAUCAAUCUUCAACGCUUAGGUUAGCCAUACAGCGACACAGAUUCGAAUAGUUCUGAAUCAGGUUCAGGCGAGUUUAUGGCAGGCCUUGGAAUUGGCGGCUUCCACGGGGGAUUUCUAUUGUCAAGCUGGUGCUAAUGUUUUGUUUUGUGCAUGAUAUUUAGGUUCAAAAUUUUUGGUUUGGGGGCUCUGGUUGCAAUUUGUGUGACAAAUAGCUUGGAUACCAGCAUGGACACAAGUAUUUCUUUACAUUAGGAGAUGAGUUAGAGAGUAAGGAGAACAUCUACGAGAACUUUGCAAGAGAGCUCCAUGACGGAGCAAUGCUCGUCGGAGAUAGCUCAAAAGAAAAAUUUACAACUUUGAUAAUGAGUCGUCCCGACUACUAACGCAGCAUGUAGCAUUCUUGUUGGUCCAUAACCUAACCCAUCUCAAACAAGAUUGCACCAUUACAGAAAAAACUAAAUGGUGGGGGUAAAACAUUGUGGAUGUAGAGAGAGAUCACUGUGGACUCAAAUGAUGUUUUCCCACUGUUACGAACCAGGAGACAUGAUGAUGAAGGCUGGAAGGAGAGCAACAAGAAGCAACAACAGCACUGAAAGAAUAACGGUUAGUCUGGUGGAAUUCUGUUAGCUGGAAGUUAGAAAAGCAGUUGAGUUAGUUAAGGAAGUAGUUAGAGUCAGUACUCAGUAAGCUUGAAUAUAGUUACAGUCAGUAGAAGAAUAAAAGCUUGUAUAUAAACUGGUGUAUGAAACGUGUGAGGGAAAAAAAAAAUAUAGAAGAUCAAUCUCACUUCUCUGCUCAUUCUCCUCUGCUCUCUCUUGUUUCUGUUCCUUCUCAAUUUAUGUUAUCUUUUCUUUCUAUUCUUUCUAAUCUUGUUAAGCUGAGCUUAACAAUUGGUAUCAGAGCUUGUAACAAGCUGCGAACCUCAUUCAACAAUGGUGGACGGUAACAAAUUCAAGAUAGUAAAUGAACAUUGCACAAGGUUAGACAACCAGCUGCAAACUUAUCAUCUAUAAUGGCAGGAAUCCAUGGCCGAAAACAAGGAGCAAGGGG